UGCAAGUCGAGCGGUAACAGGGGGUGCUUGCACUCCGCUGACGAGCGGCGGACGGGUGAGUAAUGCAUAGGAAACUGCCCAGUAGUGGGGGAUAGCCCGGGGAAACCCGGAUUAAUACCGCGUACGCCCUUCGGGGGAAAGCAGGGGAUCUUCGGACCUUGCGCUAUUGGAUGUGCCUAUGUCGGAUUAGCUAGUUGGUGGGGUAAAGGCCUACCAAGGCGACGAUCCGUAGCUGGUCUGAGAGGAUGAUCAGCCACAUCGGGACUGAGACACGGCCCGAACUCCUACGGGAGGCAGCAGUGGGGAAUAUUGGACAAUGGGGGCAACCCUGAUCCAGCCAUGCCGCGUGUGUGAAGAAGGCUUUCGGGUUGUAAAGCACUUUCAGUGAGGAGGAAAAGUUGGUCGUUAAUACCGGCCAGCCUUGACGUUACUCACAGAAGAAGCACCGGCUAACUCCGUGCCAGCAGCCGCGGUAAUACGGAGGGUGCAAGCGUUAAUCGGAAUUACUGGGCGUAAAGCGCGCGUAGGUGGUUUGAUAAGCGAGAUGUGAAAGCCCCGGGCUUAACCUGGGAACGGCAUUUCGAACUGUCAGGCUAGAGUAUGGUAGAGGAGUGUGGAAUUUCCUGUGUAGCGGUGAAAUGCGUAGAUAUA
rnacentral:rRNA from 1 species